AUGACGCUAAGAGAGCUACAACCGACGCACGACGAGAUGGAACUGAAGGCAGCAAAUGCUACAACCACCCCCAAGAUUUUCCUGGAACCAUGGCUGUGGGUGCUACGUAUUCGGGGAGGGAAACGACACAAUGUCACCGGUGCGGCGGUGACGAUGAUAAAGGCGAGGGGGACUAACCGGCGGCAGGGGAUGAGAUAUGGAGGUGCGGGGUCGCGCAGGAGAUGCGUGCGGGGGAGUGGGUUAAGCAGGAAGAGGUGGAGGGAGUUCGCGGGCGUGAGGAAGAUGACGACCGAGUCCACGAUCCGUUUUUCAUGCGAGCAUGAUCAAGUGGACCAGAUUCUGCGCGGGCCAGAUCUGACAGACCGCAUGCGACCAUCUGAGUGCUUGGGCCGGCGCACCGGUGCCUAUUACUGGCCCGAUCCCCUAGCAGAGCAUUGGAACUGA
rnacentral:rRNA from 1 species